UGGGGAAUAUUGCACAAUGGGCGCAAGCCUGAUGCAGCAACGCCGCGUGAGGGAUGACGGCCUUCGGGUUGUAAACCUCUUUUAGCAGGGAAGAAGCGAAAGUGACGGUACCUGCAGAAAAAGCACCGGCUAACUACGUGCCAGCAGCCGCGGUAAUACGUAGGGUGCAAGCGUUGUCCGGAAUUAUUGGGCGUAAAAGAGCUCGUAGGCGGUCUGUCGCGUCUGCUGUGAAAUCCCCGAGGCUCAACCUCGGGCCUGCAGUGGGUACGGGCAGACUAGAGUGCGGUAGGGGAGAAUGGAACUCCUGGUGUAGCGGUGGAAUGCGCAGAUAUCAGGAAGAACACCGAUGGCGAAGGCAGUUCUCUGGGCCGUAACUGACGCUGAGGAGCGAAAGCGUGGGGAGCGAACAGGAUUAGAUACCCUGGUAGUCCACGCCGUAAACGUUGGGCGCUAGAUGUGGGGCACCAUUCCACGGUUUCCGUGUCGCAGCUAACGCAUUAAGCGCCCCGCCUGGGGAGUACGGCCGCAAGGCUAAAA
rnacentral:rRNA from 1 species